GGAGCGAAUGGGAUUAGAUACCCCAGUAGUCCUAGCCGUAAACGAUGGAUACUAGGUGUUGUCUGUAUCGACCCGGACAGUGCCGUAGCUAACGCGUUAAGUAUCCCGCCUGGGGAGUACGCACGCAAGUGUGAAACUCAAAGGAAUUGACGGGGGCCCGCACAAGCGGUGGAGCAUGUGGUUUAAUUCGAAGCAACGCGAAGAACCUUACCAAAUCUUGACAUCGGAGUGACCGCUCUUUAAUCGGAGCUUUCCUUCGGGACACUCCAGACAGGUGGUGCAUGGUUGUCGUCAGCUCGUGUCGUGAGAUGUUGGGUUAAGUCCCGCAACGAGCGCAACCCUUAUCCUUAGUAGCCAGCGGUUCGGCCGGGCACUCUAGGGAGACUGCCAGGGAUAACCUGGAGGAAGGUGGGGAUGACGUC
rnacentral:rRNA from 1 species